UCAGGUUUCUUAGUGUAAGUAUUAUUUACAAUAAUAUUAUAAAUUGUGCAAUUCAAUUUAACUUGAU
rnacentral:tRNA from 1 species